UACAGAGGUCCCGAGCGUUGUUCGGAUUCACUGGGCGUAAAGGGUGCGUAGGUGGUGAGGUAAGUCGGAUGUGAAAUCUCCGAGCUCAACUCGGAAAUGGCAUUGGAAACUACCUUGCUCGAGGGUUGGAGGGGGGACUGGAAGUACUUGGUGUAGCAGUGAAAUGCGUAGAUAUCAAGUGGAACACCAGUGGCGAAGGCGAGUCCCUGGACAACUCCUGACACUGAGGCACGAAAGCUAGGGGAGCAAACAGG
rnacentral:rRNA from 1 species